rnacentral:lncRNA from 1 species
AUAGAUGAAAGGGAGUUAGCCGCAAUACUACCAAUUUAUAAUAAAACAUAGAACAGAGAAGAAUGAGCUCUUAAUUUAUUACCGAGGAGAGCUUUUAAUAAAUGGUCAUGGAGAUUGGUGAAGCUUUGAAGGGUUUUCUGUCAAGCCAACUUCUACCGGCGUUAUUAUUUGGAAAUUUGCUUUGCAGAACGUCCGACCACAAAAGUAUGGAGGAAGAUUUUGUUCCGAAACUCUUCUGAUAAAGACUGAUCGCAAUAUUUAUCCAAUUCUUAUUGUAUUAACAAAAAUAAUAUGUAAAUUUUUUUAUGCACCAUGGGCAGUGUAGAAUCU